rnacentral:rRNA from 1 species
UGGCGGACGGGUGAGUAACGCGUGGGUAACCUGCCUUACACAGGGGGAUAACACCUGGAAACAGGUGCUAAUACCGCAUAAGCGCACAGGGCCGCAUGGCCCGGUGUGAAAAACUCCGGUGGUGUAAGAUGGACCCGCGUCUGAUUAGCUGGUUGGCGGGGUAGAAGCCCACCAAGGCGACGAUCAGUAGCCGGCCUGAGAGGGUGAACGGCCACAUUGGGACUGAGACACGGCCCAAACUCCUACGGGAGGCAGCAG